rnacentral:rRNA from 1 species
UACGUAGGUGGCAAGCGUUGUCCGGAUUUACUGGGCGUAAAGGGCGUGCAGGCGGUUUGUUAAGUUCAGGGUGAAAGCUCCCGGCUCAACUGGGAGAGGUCCUUGGAUACUGGCAGACUUGAGGAGGGUAGAGGAGAGUGGAAUUCCUGGUGUAGCGGUGAAAUGCGCAGAUAUCAGGAAGAACACCCGUGGCUAAGGCGGUUCUCUAGUACGGUACUGACGCUGAGACGCGAAAGCGUGGGGAGCGAACAGG